UACGAAGGGGCUAGCGUUGUUCGGAAUCACUGGGCGUAAAGGGCGCGUAGGCGGCUUGAUAGUCGGGGGUGAAAGCCUGUGGCUCAACCACAGAAUUGCCUUCGAUACUGUCGAGCUUGAGACCGGAAGAGGUAAGUGGAACUGCGAGUGUAGAGGUGAAAUUCGUAGAUAUUCGCAAGAACACCAGUGGCGAAGGCGGCUUACUGGUCCGGUUCUGACGCUGAGGCGCGAAAGCGUGGGGAGCAAACAGG
rnacentral:rRNA from 1 species